rnacentral:rRNA from 1 species
GUGGAUUAGAUACCCUGGUAGUCCUAGCCGUAAACGGUGAUCACUAGGUGUUGGAGGCAUCGACCCCUCCAGUGCCGCGGCUAACGCAUUAAGUGAUCCGCCUGGGGAGUACGGCCGCAAGGUUGAAACUCAAAGGAAUUGACGGGGGCCCGCACAAGCGGUGGAGCAUGUGGUUUAAUUCGACGCAACGCGAAGAACCUUACCCAGGCUUGACAUGCAUCGGACGGGUGUGGAAACACACCUUCCCUUCGGGGCCGGUGCACAGGUGCUGCACGGCUGUCGCCAGCU